AACCAUAGAAACCUGCGGAGUACCUGCGGAAGGAUCAUUACACAAUACAAUAUGAAGGCUGUCCGCAGCUGGAGUAUUUUAUUACCCUUGUCUUUUGCGCACUUGUUGUUUCCUGGGCGGGUUCGCUCGCCACCAGGACCACCAAAUAAACCUUUUUUAUGCAGUUGCAAUCAGCGUCAGUACAAACAAUGUAAAUCAUUUACAACUUUUAACAAUGGAUCUCAGAUCGGAAGAGCACAC
rnacentral:misc_RNA from 1 species